rnacentral:tRNA from 1 species
GCGGAUAUGGCGGAAUUGGCAGACGCGCCAGACUUAGGAUCUGGUGCCCCAGGCGUGCAGGUUCAAGUCCUGUUAUCCGCA